rnacentral:rRNA from 1 species
AUUGAACGCUGGCGGCAGGCCUAACACAUGCAAGUCGAGCGGAGGGGCGGGGGGGAGAGUAAUGCCUAGGAAUCUGCCUGGUAGUGGGGGAUAAAGUCCGGAAAGGGUCGCUAAUACCGCAUACUAUCAGAUGAGCCUAGGUCGGAUUCGCUAGUGGGUGGGGUAAAGGCCUACCAAGGCGACGAUCCGUAACUGGGCUGGGAGGAGGAUCAGUCACACUGGAACUGAGACACGGUCCAGACUCCUACGGGAGGCAGCAGUGGGGAAUAUUGGACAAUGGGCGAAAGCCUGACCCAGCCAUGCCGCGUGUGUGACGAAGGUCUUCGGAUUGUAAAGCACUUUAAGUUGGGAGGCGUUACCAACAGAAUAAGCACCGGCUAACUUCGUGCCAGCAGCCGCGGUAAUAC